rnacentral:rRNA from 1 species
CGAAGUUCCAGCCAGCGUCGGAGGUACUCUGCUGAAAGCCUCACAUAGUUUGAGGCCGCAGAGACCAGGCUGAAGCGACUGUUUACUAAAAACACAGGUCCAUGCCAAGUCGCAAGACGAUGUAUAUGGACUGACGCCUGCCCGGUGCUGGAACGUUAAGGGGACGGGUUAGCGCGCAAGCGCGAAGCUCAGAACUUAAGCGCCAGUAAACGGCGGUGGUAACUAUAACCAUCCUAAGGUAGCGAAAUUCCUUGUCGGGUAAGUUCCGACCUGCACGAAUGGCGUAACGACUUCAGCGCUGUCUCAACCGUGGACUCGGCGAAAUUGCACUACGAGUAAAGAUGCUCGUUACGCGCGGCAGGACGAAAAGACCCCGGGACCUUUACUAUAGCUUUGUAUUGGUGGUUGGUUCGGCUUGUGUAGGAUAGGUGGGAGACUGUGAAGCAGGGACGCCAGUUCUUGUGGAGUCGUCCUUGAAAUACCACUCUGGUCGUACUGGCUGUCUAACCUAGGUCCGUGAUCCGGAUCAGGAACAGUGCAUGGUGGGUAGUUUAACUGGGGCGGUUGCCUCCUAAAGAGUAACGGAGGCGCCCAAAGGUUCCCUCAGCCUGGUUGGCAAUCAGGUGUCGAGUGCAAGUGCACAAGGGAGCUUGACUGUGAGACCGACGGGUCGAGCAGGGACGAAAGUCGGGACUAGUGAUCCGGCGUCGGCAUGUGGAAGCGACGUCGCUCAACGGAUAAAAGGUACCCCGGGGAUAACAGGCUGAUCUUCCCCAAGAGUCCAUAUCGACGGGAUGGUUUGGCACCUCGAUGUCGGCUCGUCGCAUCCUGGGGCUGGAGUAGGUCCCAAGGGUUGGGCUGUUCGCCCAUUAAAGCGGUACGCGAGCUGGGUUUAGAACGUCGUGAGACAGUUCGGUCCCUAUCCGCCGUGCGCGUAAGAGUCUUGAGAAGGGCUGUCCCUAGUACGAGAGGACCGGGACGGACGAACCUCUGGUGUGCCAGUUGUCCUGCCAAGGGCACGGCUGGUUGGCUACGUUCGGAACGGAUAACCGCUGAAAGCAUCUAAGCGGGAAGCCGGCUUCAAGAUGAGGACUCUCACCGGGUUAACCGGGUAAGGCCCCCAGCGAGACCACUGGGUUGAUAGGCCGGAGGUGGAAGUGCAGCAAUGCAUGGAGCUGACCGGUACUAAUAGGCCGAGGGCUUGACC